UACGUAGGGUGCGAGCGUUGUCCGGAAUUAUUGGGCGUAAAGGGCGCGUAGGCGGGCUGCCGCGUCCGGGGUGAAAUCCCACGGCUCAACCGUGGAACGGCCCCGGGUACGGGCGGCCUCGAGGAAGGUAGGGGCGUGCGGAACUGUGGGUGGAGCGGUGAAAUGCGUUGAGAUCCACAGGAACUCCGGUGGCGAAGGCGGCACGCUGGACCUUUUCUGACGCUGAGGCGCGAAAGCCAGGGGAGCGAACGGG
rnacentral:rRNA from 1 species